rnacentral:rRNA from 1 species
UGGGGAAUCUUGCGCAAUGGGCGAAAGCCUGACGCAGCGACGCCGCGUGAGUGAUGAAGGCCUUCGGGUUGUAAAGCUCUGUGGAGGGGGACGAAUAAGGGUUGGCUAAUAUCCAGCCUGAUGACGGUACCUCUUUAGCAAGCACCGGCUAACUCUGUGCCAGCAGCCGCGGUAAGACAGAGGGUGCAAACGUUGUUCGGAAUUACUGGGCGUAAAGCGCGUGUAGGCUGCUUCGCAAGUCGGAUGUGAAAGCCCUGGGCUCAACCUAGGAAGUGCAUUCGAAACUGCGAAGCUUGAGUUCUGGAGAGGAAGGCGGAAUUCUCGGUGUAGAGGUGAAAUUCGUAGAUAUCGAGAGGAACACCGGUGGCGAAGGCGGCCUUCUGGACAGUGACUGACGCUG